CUGACCUCGGAUCAGAUGAAAGCCCCCAA
rnacentral:rRNA from 1 species